rnacentral:rRNA from 1 species
ACGGAAGGCAGCCUUGGUGCAUAUUGCACAAUGGGCGCAAGCCUGAUGCAGCGAUGCCGCGUGAGGGAAGAAGGUUUUCGGAUUGUAAACCUCUGUCAACAGGGACGAAAAUGACGGUACCUGUGAAGGAAGCUCCGGCUAACUACGUGCCAGCAGCCGCGGUAAUACGUAGGGAGAAAGCGUUAUCCGGAAUUACUGGGUGUAAAGGGAGUGUAGGCGGGACUGUAAGUCAGAUGUGAAAUAUGCCGGCUCAACUGGCAGACUGCAUUGGAAACUGCGGUUCUUGAGUGAAGUAGCGGUAAGCGGACUCCCUAGUGUAGCGGUGAACUGCGUAGAUAUUAGGAGGAACAUCAGUGGCGAAGGCGGCUUGCUGGGCUUUAACUGACGCUGAGGCUCGAAAGCGUGGGGAGCAAACAAGAUUAGAUACCCUGGUA